AACGAACGCUGGCGGCAUGCCUAACACAUGCAAGUCGAACGAGAACUCCCGGUCCUUUGUCGUACGGGUGCGUAAGGGGUGGGAACCUGCCCUUAGGGUUGGAAUAACUCCCCGAAAGGGGUGCUAACAGCGGAUAAGGGCUUCGAACCAAAGAUAUAUUGCCUCUGGAUGGUCCCGCGUUGGAUAAGAUUGUUGUUAGGGUAAAAGCCUACCACGCGGCCGAUCCCUUGCUGGUUUGAGAGGAGGCUCAGCCACACUGGGACUGGGACGCGGCCGAGACUCCUACGGGAGGCGGGAGUGGGGAAUGUUGGACAGUCGGCGAAAGGCUGAUCGAGCAAUGCCGGGUGAGUGAUGAUGGCGUUAGGGAAGUAAAGCUCUUUUACCUGGGCUGGUAUUGACGGUACCGGAAGAAUAAGCUCCGGCUAACUACGUG
rnacentral:rRNA from 1 species